UACCAGAGUGUUGAGUCUAAUUCAGGGCUGCUUCCCUGUUUGGUUAUUAAACUUUGGGACAUUAAGAAAUGAACUGAGGGAGAUGAUUGAGUAGAAGGCAUUUCUCUAUUCAUUUUCUUCUAGACUGUAGCA